UGCCCUGCGGAAGGAAUCAUUGUCGUAAACCUGCCAUGCAGA
rnacentral:rRNA from 1 species